GGUUUUAUAAAAAAAUUCAAAUUAGUUAGUGUUCUAAAAAAAACAAUAUGUUGUUAUUUUAUGAUCUUAGCAGAAGAAUAAGAAACUAACAGCAAAGUUCUGUUGUGCAACUAUUUUUGGGAUUAUAAUAUAACAACUUAUGUUUUGUUUUAUACAUAACUAAUCAAUCCAACAAAAUCAACCAAAAUUGUUUUCAAAACAAAACAAUCUUGCAUAGAAUUCUGAUCACACUAAAAAAACCUUGGCAACAAAUAUAAGCAACCAAGAUCCCAAGCACUGCCCUGCAACCACAUGUGAUGUGUGCCCAAACAGCCCCUUCAACUUUCUUUCACUCAUGGGAUGACCUUGAAACAUGUCCUCUACAAUCAGAUUCAGAAAGUAAGUUUAUCUACACAUCAAAUAAACAACACCACAAAUAUUUAUAAAAUAUGUUUAGACAACAAAUAUUGAACAGUGAACACAAACAAAUUUCAAAAAUAAACUCACCAAAAUCUAAAAAUCUGAUUUCUGAAAAAGUAUAUAUAAAUCUGAUUGCUGAAAUAGUAAAGAAAUUAGAUACAAAUCUGAUUUCGGAGCUGAAACUUGGAGAAAACAAUACAGAAAUCACCCAAAUCUGAUUUCAGAAACAAUAGAGAAAUUAGAUCCAAAAAAUCAAUAACUCUUAGAGAAUAAAUCAGAUAUAUAAGAAAUAAAUCCAAUUUCUGAAAGAAACCUAAAUAACACAAAUUUCAAGUUUAAACUUACCCUGUUACCCAAAUAUGAUUUGAUGAUUUCUGAAACAACAAUAUUGAGCACAAACACAAACAUAGGAGAAAUCUGAUUUAAUGUCUAAAGAUUGAAACAUAAAUAUGAUUCUGAAAUAGAAAAUUUAGAAUGAACUAUUUUGGACUCUGACUAUUUUUUCCUGUAAUAAAAUAGAUAAGAAAUCAGAUCAUCAGAUGAAUAAUAAAUCAAAGAUUUCUGAAACAAACCUAAAUAAACACAAGUUUCGAUUGAACUCACCUAAAUCUAAUUUCUUAAAUAACCACGAAUCACAUCCAAAUCAGUGAACUACUAAAUCAAAAAUUCAAAAUCGCCUUUUGCUGUACCAAAUUAGAGAAAACCAUACCAGAUUUGAGAAAUCGUGACUAAGUCUCAACUAAUAAUGAUUAUUAUAUUGAGAUUUGAGAGAAAUAUAAUAUCUAUUAUCGACCGGAAACAAAAGGAAACAUAAGAGAAAUAUGUUCUUACUGUUUAUUUAUGAGAGAAGUAUUCUAGGUGGGCAUUGAUUUCUCCCAUCGAAAGCAACGCCAGCGGGAUUCUAGGCACGAAAGGCGUUUGGUUUCUCUAUAAGCAGAUCGAUGAUUGCUUGGAAUUGGUGCGUCUUCCCAGCUUUCUUUC
rnacentral:lncRNA from 1 species